CUAAUCUCUAUGGUUUGCUCCUUGAGCUUUGAAGUAGGUGCUCAGGCUUUUCCCAACUCUUUGGACUCCGCCCCCUCCAGAGGAGACAACCAGGAAGAGGGCCAGCAGUGUGUCAUCCUGAUUGGCCACCAGUGGAGCGAGUAGUCACCUUGGCCAAACCUGACCCAGCUCCUACCCAGCCUACCCCAAGCAGCAGCUAACUCACCACUACAGCACUAUCAGAGAGCAGUCCAGCCGGAGAAAAACUACAAGCAAGAGAUGCUGCGAGCACAGACAACAGCAGCAGCAACAGCAGCAGCGUAAUAGUCCAUACCGUAACCUAGUGAAGACACGCCACGCAGCCUGCUGGAUCUGCAAAGGAUGCUCAGCUUGACCACGUGACACUGGAGGACAAACCUGCCACUCUGAAGUCACUGAUGGAUGGACAAUAACAAGGCGGUGUGUGCUUUGUUUUGUUCAUGGAGGGUAGGACGAGUACAAGCAGCUGUUUUAAUUCCAGCCAUCAUCGCGAUUAUUAUUUCAUCCAGUCAUCACGUGCGGCAGAGUAAUGGGGUCAAGCAUACGCUGAAAAUAAAUAAAUAAUAGAGCGAAGAUUUGUUUCGCAUUUUAAAAUUCAGUCGAAAUUGUUAUAAUAAUGUCGAACUUUUAAGUUCCAGAUAUGGCGAAAAAAUAUUUUAUAUGUGCUACUUAUACUCUAAGAUUGUUUUUCUCAGAACUUGCAAAUCAAACAAUGAAUAGAUGGGUCCUCUGUUCUUUCAUAUAGCCUUGAUUCACAUUGAAUUGAGUAUUGUUAAUAGAAUAUGCAGUAGUACUUAUGGUAUUCCAAUAAAUACAAUAAUGACAUUAAAUAUUUAUAAUAAGCUUUCAGGGGGUUCCCAAAGUGUAGGUCGGGACCCCCUGGGGGGUCGCGAGAC